rnacentral:ncRNA from 1 species
UCGUGGGUAAGUCCUUUCCGAAACGGAUGAGGCCACCGUGAGGUGGGUGGGACAAAGUAGGAGAGGGGCCACUU